rnacentral:rRNA from 1 species
UACGAAGGGGGCUAGCGUUGCUCGGAAUCACUGGGCUUAAAGGGCGCGUAGGCGGGCUGCCAAGUCCGUGGUGAAAUCCCCCGGCUCAACCGGGGAACGGCCUCGGAUACUGGCGGCCUGGAGGCGGGUAGGGGCAAGCGGAACUGUGGGUGGAGCGGUGAAAUGCGUUGAGAUCCACAGGAACUCCGGUGGCGAAGGCGGCUUGCUGGACCCGAUCUGACGCUGAGGCGCGAAAGCCAGGGGAGCGAACGGG